rnacentral:rRNA from 1 species
UGGGGAAUUUUGGACAAUGGGCGAAAGCCUGAUCCAGCAAUGCCGCGUGUGUGAAGAAGGCCUUCGGGUUGUAAAGCACUUUUGUCCGGAAAGAAAUCCUUGGCUCUAAUACAGUCGGGGGAUGACGGUACCGGAAGAAUAAGCACCGGCUAACUACGUGCCAGCAGCCGCGGUAAUACGUAGGGUGCAAGCGUUAAUCGGAAUUACUGGGCGUAAAGCGUGCGCAGGCGGUUUGCUAAGACCGAUGUGAAAUCCCCGGGCUCAACCUGGGAACUGCAUUGGUGACUGGCAGGCUAGAGUAUGGCAGAGGGGGGUAGAAUUCCACGUGUAGCAGUGAAAUGCGUAGAGAUGUGGAGGAAUACCGAUGGCGAAAGGCAGCCCCCUGGGCCAAAUACUGACGCUCAUGCACGAAAAGCGUGGGGAGCAAACAGGAUUAGAUACCCUGGUAGUCCACGCCCUAAAACGAUGUCAACUAGUUGUUGGGGAUUCAUUUCCUAGUAACGUAGCUAACGCGUGAAGUUGACCGCCUGGGGAGUACGGUCGCAAAGAUUAAAAACUCAAAUGAAUUGACGGGGUCAUAGCUGUUUCCU